CCCGUGGAAGAAAUUGUGUUAGC
rnacentral:siRNA from 1 species